GAUGAACGCUGGCGGCGUGCCUAAUACAUGCAAGUAGAACGCGGAAGGAGGAGCUUGCUCUUCUGGAAGAGUUGCGAACGGGUGAGUAACGCGUAGGUAACCUGCCUGGUAGCGGGGGAGAACUAUUGGAAACGAUAGCUAAUAACGCAUGACAACAGUUAUUGCAUGAUAACUGUUUAAAAGGGGCAACUGCUCCACUACCAGAUGGACCUGCGUUUUCUUAGCUAGUUGGUGAGGUAACGGCUCACCAAGGCCACGGUACAUAGCCGACCGGAGAGGGUGGUCGGCCACCAUGGGCCCUGGACACCGCCCCGACUCCUUCGGGAGGCAGCCGUAGGGGAUCCUCGGCCAUAGACGGAAGUCUGACCGAGCCACGCCGCGUGGGUGGAGAAGGUUUUCGGAUCGUUAAGCUCUGUUUUAAGGGAAGAACGAGUGUGAGGGUGGACAGUUCACACUGUGACGGUAUCUUACCAGAAAGGGACGGCUAACUACGUG
rnacentral:rRNA from 1 species